AUUGAACGCUGGCGGCAGGCUUAACACAUGCAAGUCGAGCGGGGUGAUGGUGCUUGCACUAUCACUUAGCGGCGGACGGGUGACUAAUGCUUAGGAAUCUGCCUAUUAGUGGGGGACAACAUCUCGAAAGGGAUGCUAAUACCGCAUACGUCCUACGGGAGAAAGCAGGGGAUCACUUGUGACCUUGCGCUAAUAGAUGAGCCUAAGUCGGAUUAGCUAGUUGGUGGGGUAAAGGCCUACCAAGGCGACGAUCUGUAGCGGGUCUGAGAGGAUGAGCCGCCACACUGGGACUGGGACCCGGCCCAGACUCCUACGGGGGGCAGCAGUGGGGAAUAUUGGACAAUGGGGGGAACCCUGAUCCAGCCAUGCCGCGUGUGUGAAGAAGGCCUUAUGGUUGUAAAGCACUUUAAGCGAGGAGGAGGCUCUUUUGGUUAAUACCCAAGAUGAGUGGACGUUACUCGCAGAAUAAGCACCGGCUAACUCUGUGCCAGCAGCCGCCGUAA
rnacentral:rRNA from 1 species